rnacentral:rRNA from 1 species
UCCGUAGGCGGGCAGCUAAGUCAGUGGUGAAAUCUUACAGCUCAACUGUAAAAUUGCCAUUGAUACUGGAUGUCUUGAAUUAGUGUGAAGUGGUUAGAAUGUGUAGUGUAGCGGUGAAAUGCAUAGAUAUUACACAGAAUACCAAUUGCGAAGGCAGAUCACUAACACUAUAUUGACGCUGAGGGACGAAAGCGUGGGGAGCGAACAGGAUUAGAUACCCUGGUAGUCC